GCUUACGGCCAUACUACCCUGAAUGCGCCCGAUCUCGUCUGAUCUCGGAAGCUAAGCAGGGUCAGCCUGGUUAGCACUGGAUGGGAGACCGCCUGGAAUACAGGUGGUAAGCU
rnacentral:rRNA from 1 species